AUACGUAGGGUGCGAGCGUUGUCCGGAAUUACUGGGCGUAAAGAGCUCGUAGGUGGUUUGUCGCGUCGUCUGUGAAAUUCCGGGGCUUAACUCCGGGCGUGCAGGCGAUACGGGCAUAACUUGAGUACUGUAGGGGAGACUGGAAUUCCUGGUGUAGCGGUGAAAUGCGCAGAUAUCAGGAGGAACACCGGUGGCGAAGGGGGGUCUCUGGGCAGUAACUGACGCUGAGGAGCGAAAGCAUGGGUAGCGAACAGGAUUAGAUACCCUGGUAGUCCAUGCCGUAAACGGUGGGCGCUAGGUGUAGGGGUCUUCCACGACUUCUGUGCCGUAGCUAACGCAUUAAGCGCCCCGCCUGGGGAGUACGGCCGCAAGGCUAAAACUAAAAGGAAUGGACGGGG
rnacentral:rRNA from 1 species